AAAAAGGUAAGCUAAAUUUCAAGCUAGUGGGUUCAUACCUCAUUUAUAAAGGUAAUACCCCUUUCCUUUUUA
rnacentral:tRNA from 1 species